rnacentral:rRNA from 1 species
GAUGAACGCUGGCGGCGUGCCUAAUACAUGCAAGUCGAGCGAACGGACGCGAAGCUUGCUUCUCUGAUGUCAGAGGCGGACGUGUCAGUAAAAUAUGCAUAACCCACCUUUAAGAUAGGGCUAAAUAACGGGAACCAGUGCUAGUUAUGGCCUCUUUUUUCAUAGGGAUGGUUUGAAAGCUCCAGAGGGUCUUGAUGGCCCUUCUACAUGGCAUCGCGUUGCAUUAGCUAGUUGGUAAGGUAACGGCUUACCAAGGCAACGGUGUAUAGCCGACCUGAGAGGGUGAACCGCCACAGUGAGGGUGAGACGCGGUCCAGACUCCGACAUGAGGCAGCGGUAGGGAAUCUUCCGCAAUGGGCGGAAGCCUGAAGGAGCAACGCCAGGUGAAUGAUGAAGGGCUUCGGAUCGUAUAACUCUGUUAUUAUUGAAGAACAUAUUUGUAAGUAACGGUGCACAUCUUGACGGUACCUAAUCAGAAAGCCACGGCUAACUACGUG